GAUGAACGCUGGCGGCGUGCCUAAUACAUGCAAGUCGAGCGAACAGACGAGGAGCUUGCUCCUUCGACGUUAGCGGCGGACGGGUGAGUAACACGUAGGUAACCUACCUAUAAGACUGGGAUAACUUCGGGAAACCGGAGCUAAUACCGGAUAAUAUUUCGAACCGCAUGGUUCGAUAGUGAAAGAUGGCUUUGCUAUCACUUAUAGAUGGACCUGCGCCGUAUUAGCUAGUUGGUAAGGUAACGGCUUACCAAGGCAACGAUACGUAGCCGACCUGAGAGGGGGAUCGGCCACACAGGAGCUGAGACACGGUCCAGACUCCUACGGGAGGCAGCAGUAGGGAAUCUUCCGCAAUGGGCGAAAGCCUGACGGAGCAACGCCGCGUGAGUGAUGAAGGUCUUCGGAUCGUAAAACUCUGUUAUGAGGGAAGAACAAACGUGUAAGUAACUGUGCACGUCUUGACGGUACCUAAUCAGAAAGCCACGGCUAACUACGU
rnacentral:rRNA from 1 species